rnacentral:rRNA from 1 species
GAUGAACGCUAGCGGCAGGCCUAACACAUGCAAGUCGAGGGGCAUCGCGGUGCAGCAAUGCACUGGCAGCGACCGGCGUACGGGUGCGUAACGCGUAUGCAACCUGCCCCGCACCGGGGGAUAGCCCGCCGAAAGGCGGAUUAAUACCCCAUGGUCCCGGGGGCCCGCAUGGGCAUCCGGGUAAAGCCUUGGCGGUGCGGGAUGGGCAUGCGUGCCAUUAGCUGGCUGGUGGGGUAACGGCCCACCAGGGCAACGAUGGCUAGGGGGUCUGAGAGGAUGGUCCCCCACACUGGUACUGAGACACGGACCAGACUCCUACGGGAGGCAGCAGUGAGGAAUCUUCCACAAUGGGCGAAAGCCUGAUGGAGCGACGCCGCGUGAGCGAAGAAGGCCUUCGGGUUGUAAAGCUCUGUCUGGAGGGACGAAGGAAGUGACGGUACCUCCGGAGGAAGCCACGGCUAACUACGUG